GAUUAUGGCUCAGAACGAACGCUGGUAGCGUGGAUUAGGCAUGCAAGUCGAACGGGAUCGCCCGGAUAGCAAUAUCGGGCGUGAGAGUGGCGGACUGGGGAGGAGCACGUGAGCAACCUGCCCUUGGGACGGGGGAAAACCUCUGGAAACGGAGGCUAAUACCGGAUGCGGCGCCUGGAGACAUCUCCGGAGCGCCAAAGGGGGCCGCAAGGCUCCCGCCCGAGGAGGGGCUCGCGCACCAUCAGCUUGUUGGCGGGGUAACGGCCCACCAAGGCUUACGGUUAGCUGGUCUGAGAGGAUGGCCAGCCCCACUGGGACUGAGAUACUGCCCAGACUCCUACGGGAGGCUGCAGUCGAGGAUCAUUCGCAAUGGGCGAAAGCCUGACGAUGCGACGCUGCGGUUGGGAGGAUGAAGGCCGUUCGGGUUAGUAAACUCCUGUCAGUGGGGGAACAGGCGAGGGGACCCAACACGUCCCUUAGUUGAGUGUACCCCAAGAGGAAUUGGCGGCUAACUCUGUGCCAGCCGCAGC
rnacentral:rRNA from 1 species